rnacentral:rRNA from 1 species
UACAGAGGGUGCAAGCGUUAAUCGGAAUUACUGGGCGUAAAGGGUGCGUAGGUGGUUGAAUUAGUUAGGUGUGAAAGCCCCGGGCUUAACCUGGGAAUUGCGCCUAAUACUGUUUGACUAGAGUACUGUAGAGGAAGGUGGAAUUUCCGGUGUAGCGGUGAAAUGCGUAGAUAUCGGAAGGAACAUCAGUGGCGAAGGCGACUUUCUGGACAGAUACUGACACUGAGGCACGAAAGCAUGGGGAGCAAACAGG